GCUAAGAAUCUUCCGCAAUGGGGGAAACCCUGACGGAGCGACGCCGCGUGGACGAUGAAGGCCGUAAGGUUGUAAAGUCCUUUUGCAGGAGAAGAAUAAGGUGGGGAGUGGAAAGCCUCAUCGAUGACGUUAUCCUGCGAAUAAGCCCCGGCCAAUUACGUGCCAGCAGCCGCGGUAAUACGUAUGGGGCGAGCGUUGUUCGGAGUUAUUGGGCGUAAAGGGCGUGUAGGCGGCCCGACAAGUCUGGUGUGAAAUCGCAGGGCUCAACCCUGCGGGUGCGCUGGAAACGGUCGGGCUGGAGUCCCGGGGGGGAAGCUGGAAUUCCUGGUGUAGGAGUGAAAUCUGUAGAGAUCAGGAAGAACACCGGUGGCGAAGGCGAGCUUCUAUUCGAGGACUGACGCUGAGGCGCGAAAGCGUGGGGAGCAAACAGGAUUAGAAACCCUUGUAGUCC
rnacentral:rRNA from 1 species